rnacentral:rRNA from 1 species
AUUGAACGCUGGCGGCAGGCCUAACACAUGCAAGUCGAGCGAGCGGCGGACGGGUGUGUAAUGUCUGGGAAACUGCCUGAUGGCGGGGGAUAAAUACUGGACACGGUAGCUAAUACCGCAUCCCAUCAGAUGUGCCCCGAUGGGAUUAGCUAGUAGGUGGGGUAACGGCUCACCUAGGGGACGAUCCCUAGCUGGUCUGAGAGGAUGACCAGCCACACGGGAACUGGGACACGGUCCAGACUCCUACGGGAGGCAGCAGUGGGGAAUAUUGCACAAUGGGCGCAAGGCUGAUGCAGCCAUGCCGCGUGUAUGAAGAAGGCCUUCGGGUUGUAAAGUACUUUCAGCGGGGAGGCGGUACCCGCAGAAAAAGCAACGGAGAACUCCGUGCCAGCAGCCGCGGUAAUAC